AACUUGAUAACUAUAUAUUCUGUCGUUGUAUCUGUUUGUUUUUCCUCCACCACCGCAACAAAUUUCUAUAUACAAUCCGAAAAUCAGAGCAAGUAUAGAUAUAAUGGCGAAAGAGAUAAAAGAGCCGUGCAAGAAAGAAGCAUGCGAUAUUCAAUCUUGUCUCUCUAAAAACAACUUUCUUCCCCACAGGUGCACCAGAGUUAUUCAAUUACUACAAUCAUGCUGUGAACAAUGCGAGAAUAAAUCAACUCAUUGUGGCUCUGUUGCUGCUCUUCUCAAGCAAAUAAACAAAAACAAGUAAUAACUGUACUACUAGCAACAGAGCGGCAGAGAAUGAAGUUCCGUUUUUGUAGCUUUCUUGGGAAAAACUGAGGAUCUUAUAGAAUAAAUGAUGGAUGUGAUUUUUAUGAAGUACAGAAGCUGGGAUUAUGUUUUGGGAUUAGCUUUGAUUUAAUGUCACAAACAAGAAUAAGGAAAAGUUGUAUAAUGAACUAGUUUGUAGGGAAUGGCAAAUAUUCAUCAAAAAUGCAUUUGAAUUACAUGAUCCUUCUUAU